GCCCCGGCGCCCCCCGGGGCGGACGGACACCCCAAGUCUGCGUCUGAUCGGCCGCGGGCUUCCCGCGCCGGCGGCGAGGAGCCGCUCAGAUUCGUCUGUGCGCGCUGCUGCGUCGGUUUCGGCCCCAGACCCUCGCCGCCCGCCGGCGGGCUUCUGCUCCCCGGGCCGGGGCCCGAGCGCCGGCGCUGGGCCGCCGCGUACGCGGACGGAAGGUGUGUCCAGCCGCCCAACGGCCCGGGACCCUGCGGAGGCCGGCUUCGCGGCGGGGGCAGGGGGCACGAGGCGAAAAGCAACUUUUACCCGCUUGCGGCUCCCUUCCGCGGGCUCUUCCCGGGCCGGCACCGCGAUCCGCGACCCUCAGACGGAGACCCCUCCCCUAGGAAUGUGGCCUCUCUCGGCCGAGUCCGCCCUUCUGCAGUCCGCGCCGCGCGCGUUCUAGGACUUCCCCGGGCAGACUUUGGGGACUCAGAUUGCUCCUCCCCACCCCCAAGCAGAUUUUUACAAAAAGGUGUCCAAGGGAAAAUCCUCCAGGACAUCGAGACUUGCGAAAUUCACUCAGUAAGCGGAGGACAACAACUGUGGCCGGACCAGCAUCUCUUCAGUAGGUACUUUUCUUGGCCCUGUGUGGGCCUGGACCCAGAGAAGAGUGAUGUUGGCGACUUGCACCCAUUCAUCCAAUCCAAGGUGCAUCAGGCCAGUCCUCCUCCAAGACUGUGACCUGAACAGAAAACCCUACAAAGUCCUCUCCCUGCCUCUACUUUGCCCCUGACAGUCUCUUCUCUAUCUGACCAACCAACCCAGCGAGGUCUGUGCAAGGUUAAUUGUAUCACCUAACUCCUCAGCCGCAGGGAAGGUGUCUCCAACACCUUAGAAUAAAAUCAGAAUUCUAACUAGCCUAUGAGCUCCUGGGACUGCCCCCUCACCAUGACAGCACACUGUCCUUCUGUGUCCCCUGCAAGCCUCCCUCCAGCUGGAUCCUUGUCCCCCAGAUGGGACGAUCAUCAUCUGUUCAGCACUCAGGGCGCAGCUCAGAUGGCACCUCCUGGAAGAGACUUUUCAUGAUUCCCUUAACCAGAGCGGAGUUAGAAAUGUUCUUGUCUGUGUGUCAGUUGAUUGAUUGUUAGAUCUGCCCAGGGCCUUGGAGAAUGAGCUGCAUAGGGGCACAGGCUUUGUCCGGCUUGCUCACUCAGCGCCUCCACCAGGGCCU
ensembl:lncRNA